rnacentral:rRNA from 1 species
UACGGAGGCAGCAGUGGGGAAUAUUGCACAAUGGGCGAAAGCCUGAUGCAGCUAUGCCGCGUGUAUGAAGAAGGCCUUAGGGUUGUAAAGUACUUUCAUCGGGGAGGAAAAACAAAACUAAUAAUUUUAUUUCUUGACGUUACCCGAAAAAGAAGCACCGGCUAACUCCGUGCCAGCAGCCGCGGUAAUACGGAGGGUGCUAGCGUUAAUCAGAAUUACUGGGCGUAAAGAGCACGUAGGUGGUUUUUUUAAGUCAGAUGUGAAAUCCCUGGGCUUAACCUAGGAACUGCAUUUUGAAACUGAAAUACUAGAGUAUCGUAGAGGGAGGUAGAAUUCUAGGUGUAGCGGUGAAAUGCGUAGAUAUCUGGAGGAAUACCUGUGGCGAAAGCGGCCUCCUAAACGAAUACUGACACUGAGGUGCGAAAGCGUGGGGAGCAAAACAGGGAUUAGAUACC